rnacentral:ncRNA from 1 species
CUCAUCAAGAGUAGUGGAGGGAAAGGCCCAAUGAAGCUACAGCAACCAUUCUGUGAAGAAAAGGUGCUAAUUCCGACGGUAACAGCCGAAAGAUG